AUCAGCUGACGAGUCCUAAAUAGGAUGAAUCGCGUGUCCUGGAU
rnacentral:hammerhead_ribozyme from 1 species